rnacentral:rRNA from 1 species
CCUACGGGAGGCAGCAGUGAGGAAUAUUGGUCAAUGGGCGUAAGCCUGAACCAGCCAAGUCGCGUGAGGGAUGAAGGUUCUAUGGAUCGUAAACCUCUUUUAUAAGGGAAUAAAGUGUGGGACGUGUCCUAUUUUGUAUGUACCUUAUGAAUAAGGAUGGCUAACUCCGUGCAAGCAGCCGCGGGAAUACGGAGGAUCCGAGAUUUAGCCGGAUUUCUUGGGUUUAACGGGUGCGUAGGCGGCCUUUUAAGUCAGCGGGGAAAGUCUGUGGCUCACCCCUAGAAUUGCCGUUGAAACUGGGGGGCUUGAGUAUGUUUGAGGCAGGCGGCAUGCGUGGUGUCGCGGU